rnacentral:rRNA from 1 species
CGAAUGCUGACAUAAGUAACGAUAAAGCGGGUGAAAAGCCCGCUCGCCGGAAGACCAAGGGUUCCUGUCCAACGUUAAUCGGGGCAGGGUGAGUCGACCCCUAAGGCGAGGCCGAAAGGCGUAGUCGAUGGGAAACAGGUUAAUAUUCCUGUACUUGGUGUUACUGCGAAGGGGGGACGGAGAAGGCUAUGUUGGCCGGGCGACGGUUGUCCCGGUUUAAGCGUGUAGGCUGGUUUUCCAGGCAAAUCCGGAAAAUCAAGGCUGAGGCGUGAUGACGAGGCACUACGGUGCUGAAGCAACAAAUGCCCUGCUUCCAGGAAAAGCCUCUAAGCAUCAGGUAACAUCAAAUCGUACCCCAAACCGACACAGGUGGUCAGGUAGAGAAUACCAAGGCGCUUGAGAGAACUCGGGUGAAGGAACUAGGCAAAAUGGUGCCGUAACUUCGGGAGAAGGCACGCUGAUAUGUAGGUGAAGCGACUUGCUCGUGGAGCUGAAAUCAGUCGAAGAUACCAGCUGGCUGCAACUGUUUAUUAAAAACACAGCACUGUGCAAACACGAAAGUGGACGUAUACGGUGUGACGCCUGCCCGGUGCCGGAAGGUUAAUUGAUGGGGUUAGCGGUAACGCGAAGCUCUUGAUCGAAGCCCCGGUAAACGGCGGCCGUAACUAUAACGGUCCUAAGGUAGCGAAAUUCCUUGUCGGGUAAGUUCCGACCUGCACGAAUGGCGUAAUGAUGGCCAGGCUGUCUCCACCCGAGACUCAGUGAAAUUGAACUCGCUGUGAAGAUGCAGUGUACCCGCGGCAAGACGGAAAGACCCCGUGAACCUUUACUAUAGCUUGACACUGAACAUUGAGCCUUGAUGUGUAGGAUAGGUGGGAGGCUUAGAAGUGUGGACGCCAGUCUGCAUGGAGCCGACCUUGAAAUACCACCCUUUAAUGUUUGAUGUUCUAACGUUGGCCCCUGAUCGGGGUUGCGGACAGUGUCUGGUGGGUAGUUUGACUGGGGCGGUCUCCUCCUAAAGAGUAACGGAGGAGCACGAAGGUUGGCUAAUCCUGGUCGGACAUCAGGAGGUUAGUGCAAUGGCAUAAGCCAGCUUGACUGCGAGCGUGACGGCGCGAGCAGGUGCGAAAGCAGGUCAUAGUGAUCCGGUGGUUCUGAAUGGAAGGGCCAUCGCUCAACGGAUAAAAGGUACUCCGGGGAUAACAGGCUGAUACCGCCCAAGAGUUCAUAUCGACGGCGGUGUUUGGCACCUCGAUGUCGGCUCAUCACAUCCUGGGGCUGAAGUAGGUCCCAAGGGUAUGGCUGUUCGCCAUUUAAAGUGGUACGCGAGCUGGGUUUAGAACGUCGUGAGACAGUUCGGUCCCUAUCUGCCGUGGGCGCUGGAGAACUGAGGGGGGCUGCUCCUAGUACGAGAGGACCGGAGUGGACGCAUCACUGGUGUUCGGGUUGUCAUGCCAAUGGCACUGCCCGGUAGCUAAAUGCGGAAGAGAUAAGUGCUGAAAGCAUCUAAGCACGAAACUUGCCCCGAGAUGAGUUCUCCCUGACUCCUUGAGAGUCCUGAAGGAACGUUGAAGACGACGACGUUGAUAGGCCGGGUGUGUAAGCGCAGCGAUGCGUUGAGCUAACCGGUACUAAUGAACCGUGAG